AGUCAUUUUUUUUUAUUUUCUGUUUGUCUAGGUGGAAGAUCUCAGUCUGCCUCUCUUGUCAGUCAACAGCAGAAGAGCAGUCAGACAUCAGAGCAGAACCAGAGUGAAGCGGUAUAUACAACUCUCACGUCUGGAACUGCUCAUAUUUAUGACUCUCUUGAUGCCACAAUUAAUAAAGACAUAAGCACAGGUAAUGUAGACAUUGUAAGUGGACCUUCUGAACUCACCUAUGCUGAGAUUGAGCUCAAAUCUACAGAGAAACAGAAGAAAAAGAAAGAAAACAAAGGUAAUAGCAGUGAAAGUUCAGACACUGUGUACUCUCAGCUGAAUCUGGAAACUCAUCGAGGUGAGUGUCAAAGUAAAAACAUCAAACACAGUUCAAAAGGAGCCACUAACAACUGCAUACAAGCAUCGUUGAUGAAAUAUGAAAAAAUUCUAAUGUAUAUUUAAUGCAUUUUUAAUUAAUUUACACAUUGGAAAAAACUGAUGAUCUUUUAGUACUGCACAGUGUUUAUUUUUAUUGGCUGAUACCAGCAGAGGCAGCAGCUCAUCGUUUGACUGUUGAUUGAGAGCAGGUUUCCUUUUUUGUGUGUCUUCUUGAUUUUAAAUGUAUUUACAGCAUAGUCAUGAACAACCUGGAAAUACCUGCCAAUUUUAAAAUGAUGACUUCCAGGUCUGGAAGAGUUGUCUUACAAAUAAAUGUAUAUGAUGAAUAUAAUUUUUUUUGAAG
ensembl:lncRNA